GUAGGUGGCAAGCGUUGUCCGGAAUUAUUGGGCGUAAAGCGCGCGCAGGCGGUUCCUUAAGUCUGAUGUGAAAGCCCCCCGGGCUCAACCGGGGGAGGGUCAUUGGAAACUGGGGAACUUGAGUGCAGAAGAGGAGAGCGGAAUUCCACGUGUAGCGGUGAAAUGCGUAGAGAUGUGGAGGAACACCAGUGGCGAAGGCGGCUCUCUGGUCUGUAACUGACGCUGAGGCGCGAAAGCGUGGGGAGCGAACAGGAUUAGAUACCCUGGUAGUCCACGCCGUAAACGAUGAGUGCUAAGUGUUAGAGGGUUUCCGCCCUUUAGUGCUGCAGCAAACGCAUUAAGCACUCCGCCUGGGGAGUACGGCCGCAAGGCUG
rnacentral:rRNA from 1 species